UCCUGUUCCCUUCCUCUCUCCACCCUGGCAGUAUCAGCGCUCCAGGCCUUACAGGGGGAGGCCCAGGCCGGGCAUCCCCUCCCACCUCGCUAGAAAAAUCACAGAUACUUCACUCCUCCAGCCAGGACGACCAGGAACCACUGACGGACCGAUUCUCCACGCCACCGCCUGCCCAAGCUCCGCCCCCAGCUCGCCCCUGCUCUGAGACGCCUCCUGACACUGACGCAACUGACUCCGCGACCGGGGAAAGAGAGGAUGAUGGGAAAAGUUCAGUGAAAGAGCCCCGCGGUGCCCACAGCAGAUCACUGAAGCUCCCUCAGCCAUCGAAACUCCGCCUCUUCCUGUCUCAGACCUGCAGCGCGACCCCCCCCUCAAUGACCAGGGCGUCCAGGCAGCCGCCGACGCCUUGUGACCCAGAGAGCCACGCCUCUUCUGGGGUGAAGCUCAGAACGCUGGACUUUACCUUCGGCUCGUCACGUCUCCCGAAACCAAAGAGCCACUGAGAGCGCUCGUCUGGCAGCAGCUUCCUAACGCGCAGCGACGUGAGUCCACCAACCACACGCUUCCCCCCCGAGCCGCUCCGCUCGAGUCGAUUCUGAUGGAAUGAAAAAUCUAUUUAUCAAAUAUUUUUAUUUAUUUAUUGUAUUUUUCAUAGAAGAUAUCAAAGAGAUAAAGAAUAAAGAUUUUAAUUUAAAGGUUAAACAGGAAAACACUGAUUUCAGUUUAAAGCUGCUUCAUGUGACUCUUCCUCCCACCAGCAGGUGGUGGUGUUGGACUAGUUUCAGCCAUUGUUGUGUUUGAGAUAUCGGCCAAAAGAAAAGAUGUUUACAUAUCUUAUAAAUUACCCAAACUCCCUUUCCUGCUUUUGAACUUGUAAAAAAGGUUUUAACAUCGGCACUUACCAGACGUCAUAUAUCAGAUUCAAUUGGAUCUGUGACACGUAAAUAUAUCGACCAAUAAAAUCAGUUCUCACGAUGCUGCAGUGACCUCACUGAAGUUAGCAUGCUGACGAGGGAGUUAGCAUGCUAACAUGGUGAGUAGAUAAAGUUUGUUGACGGCUGCUAACAAAAUGUCGUGUAGCUUUAAAGUGAGUAAACAUCUGCUAACAACAACCUCAUCACACCGACAAAUUAAAAUUAGAUUUAGAGAAAGUUCUGGGCUCAGUCACAAUGUUAAGUUAUUCAGUGAUUGUAUGUUAAGUGUUAUAUUUAUUAUCGCUCGCUGCGUGUUAGGAACUGACACCCUCAAACAUGGCUCCUCCUCCUGGACGAACUCCGACACCAACACUGGCUUGUUUGUUUCAGACCGACUCAUCAUCUGACGUCAGAAGAAUAAAUCUCUGACUUUAUUUUCACGUGACUCUGUCGUGUCACAUGUUCGAUCCUCGCUUCAUGUUUGGUUCACAUGUUCUCUCCUGAACGUUUCCUGUUUGUUGAGAAAUUCUCCUCAGUUUGAACGACUCAUCGUAACGAGACGAUAUCGAUGCACGGACGACCAAGAAACAAGAGACAGACUUUCUCUCCAUCGACCAAUCAGACACUCCGACUGAUGACACGUGAUCGUCUGACCCCCCCCCCCCCCCCCCCCCCCCCCCAGCUCCGCUUGCUUCGAUAUUAUAAACAAUAUAUACAAGAGACUAUGCAACAGAGGCUCAACUCGUCCUGCCCGAGUUCCUCUGAGCCAGAGCAGAGACGCUGUCGUAUGAAUAUUUAUGCAAAUAACUGAGAUAGUUAUAGAUGGAGGAGGUUCACCCAACUGAUGAUGAUGAUGAUGAUGAAGAACCUGACCGCCGUGACACUGAUGAACUCAAAUAUCAACAUGUAAACAACAUCGUCUCAGUCUGUAACGAUGGAGGCGUCGCCCUCGUUCAUCCUUUUAAUAACACACACACACACACACACACCUGAGAGCAGCAGGUACCACUCCAGUGUUGUAGAUAUACCCAGUUGCCAUGGUGAUGUAGUUGGACAGCCAUGGCAACCGCAGCAGUGUUGGGAUUUAGUGUGUGUGUGUGUGUGUGUGUGUGUGUGUGUGUGUGUGUGUGUGUGUGUGUNUGUGUGUGUGUGUGUGUGUGUGUGUGUGUGUGUGUGUGUGUGUGUGUUCGUGUGUGUGUGUGUUCACCUGCUUCACUUUCACCUCAGAACAAACUAACGGCCGAGCGUCGGUUUAAAUCGUGUUAGCGACGGAUUCGUUCAUGAAGAGAAACAAAGCGAUGAUCUUCCUCCGGCUGCUCGUCGUCCAAUCAGAAUCAAGCGUCUUGUAGUUUUUACUUUUCUAAAAAUGUUUUAAUCAAAUUCAGCAGCAGAUAAUUUCCACCUUAAAUGUCUCUGUCUUCGCUCGGCGUCAUGACAACAACAGUCGGAUAAACACCAAUUUUUCAGUGACAAUUAUAAAUUCUUUGUUUUCAUUUGUUAAUUAGUCACAGUCGCAAAACUUCAUCCUACGACUUCCUGAAGAUAUUUCACAUUAAAAGUCUUUUCUGCGAAGAUAGAGCUGUCUGAAGACUUUUAAUGUGAAGGAUCUGCAGGAAGUGUUGAAUUUUACUGACGUCUGUAGAAAAGUUAACAAAGUUAGAAACGUCUAAAUCCUGGUGAUUCCCCGAAUAUAAAGAAGGUUUAAAACCCAGAUAUGAAUGAAAUAACCUGUUUGUUCUUCAAGUGGAAAAUGAAACCAGGUGAAUAAUCGUGGAUGUUUUCACCAUCAGCUGCUUCAGUGUCGAUGAUAUUUCAAUCACUGUCUCAACUUAUUUAUUAGAUCACAAUGUUGUCCUCACUCUUCACGUCUGUACAGUUUAUCCUUCACCUUUAUAUUUAAAGGCUGAAGGACAGGUAUUUUAUUUUGACGGACAUCCUGCCAUUUCCUGUAUCACCUGCUGGUUUUUUGCAAAUUUAAAUUUUCGUGCAAUAAGUCGCCGGCGUUUUCAAACUCGCCACCGCACAAAGUUUAUUUAUGUGAGGAACCGUCCGAACUGCUGCGAUGAAUAAACUCGUGUUAUUGAUGUUAAUGAAUCUUGAGCUUGUGAAGCGUCUCGCUCUGAAAAUGCACUUUAAUGAAACAGAGCUUCGAUCAGUUCGACUCUGAAACUACUUUUAUUUGUGUAUAUUUACUUUUAAAGUCGGAGUAAAGCUGCGUUCAUGUCACAUGUUUGUCAUCAGGAAGUUCGGCCUCGAGUUCAAAGUGUUGAACGUCCUGAACGACACAUUUAUUCAAAUAAGUCAUCGAAAAAAACCAAUAUUUCGUUGUUCAGUCUUUGACCUUUGAACCCGGCUCUCGUUGGUUCAAACCUGCAUCGGAGCUGUUUCAUUGGUUCGAGUGUGACGACGUCUGUGUGCUCUUUUACGAUUGGCCGACACGCCUCUGCUUGUAGCUCAUUGGUUCAUGUUGAUGGUUCUCUUCUGUCAUUGGCUGAAAUAAAAACAAUCCACAUCUUA